GGAAGUGACGCCCCAUUUCCUGACCGUCCUCUGCUCUGAGAGGUCCUCUUCUGUCUCUUUGUCUUUCUGACUCCGUCCCUCCCAGGGCUUUGCUUCUACUCAGAACAAUAGCCUGCUGCAUCCUGGCCCCACGGCAUGGGCUCCCGGCAGCCCUGAGCCCCAGGAGAGGACUUAGGGCUUCUAGACCUGCCGCCCUGGACAAGGCAGCUCACAGCUCUGAACCUCGGUCUCCUCAUCCUUGAAACGAAGAGGCUGGCAGCAAGAAUGGACUUCAUCACUCAGAUGGUGUCAUGGUUAAAGAACUGGAAGAGAACUACAAGCAGUACCAACCCCAUGAUCGUAGAUGAUGUAACUAUGGUCCAGGAUGACUUGACCAAAGAUGCGGGGACGGGAUUCCUCCUGGGCUCCGCUGCAGGAUUGUGUCCAGUCCCCAAGUCUUGAAAGUAGCCUCCGAGGGACUUCCCUGGUGGCCCAAAGGCUGAGACACUACACUCUCAAGGCAGGGGACUGGGUUCGAUCCUUGGUCAGGGAAGUAUUACUAGAUCCCGCAUACUGUGACUAGAGAGCCCACAUGGUUCACUGAAGAGCCUGCAUGCCUAAACCUAGACCAGAAUGUUUGAGAAAGGAAAGUACAGACCUUUUGGCCUCCUAAUUUCACCUUGUCGGGUGCACAUGCUGCUGCUAAGUCGCUUCAGUCGUGUCCAACUCCAUGCGACCCCAUAGACGGCAGCCCACCAGGCUCCCCCAUCCCUGGGAUUCUCCAGGCAAGAACACUGGAGUG